UAUCAACGCAAGUACAUUGCUUGGUGGUAUUAUUAUUGUUAUGAUUCCAACCUAAAUGGUUAUUAUUAUCAUGGCAAUUAUCAACCUUCU